AUACAGGGGGUGCGAGCGUUAAUCGGAAUUACUGGGCGUAACGAGUACGUAGGCGGUUGCUUAAGUCAGAUGUGAAAGCCCCGGGCUCAACCUGGGAACUGCAUUUGAAACUGAUUGACUAGAGUUUAAGAGAGGGGAGUAGAAUUCCGGGUGUAGCGGUGAAAUGCGUAGAGAUCCGGAGGAAUACCAGUGGCGAAGGCGGCUCCCUGGCUUAAAACUGACGCUGAGGUACGAAAGCGUGGGUAGCAAACAGGAUUAGAAACCCCAGUAGUCC
rnacentral:rRNA from 1 species